rnacentral:rRNA from 1 species
CACGUAGGGCGCAAGCGUUGUCCGGAAUUAUUGGGCGUAAAGAGCUCGUAGGCGGUCUGUUGCGUCCGCUGUGAAAACUCGAGGCUCAACCUCGAGACGCCGGUGGAAACCAUCAGACUAGAGUCCGGAAGAGGAGAGUGGAAUUCCUGGUGUAGCGGUGAAAUGCGCAGAUAUCAGGAAGAACACCCGUGGCUAAGGCGGCUCUCUAGUACGGUACUGACGCUGAGACGCGAAAGCGUGGGGAGCGAACAGG